rnacentral:rRNA from 1 species
UAACAAUGAUUCCCUCAGUAACGGCGAGUGAACAGGGAAAAGCUCAAAGUUGGAACCUCCUGGCCCUAGGCCUGGCGGAUUGUAAACUAAAGCUCUCGAGUAGUUCGGCUAGCCUGGUAAAAAAGUUCUCUGGAAAGGGACGACAUGGAGGGUGAAAUCCCCGUCUUUGGCCAGAGCAUAGUCCAACGUUUGCUUGGAAGUGAAGAGUCAGGUUGUUUGGUAUUGCAGCCUAAAGCUGGAGGUAAAUCUCUCCUAAAGCUAAAUAUUGACGAAAGACCGAUAGCGAACAAGUACCGUGAGGGAAAGAUGAAAAGCACUUUGAAAAGAGGGUCAAAAAGUACGUGAAAUUGCUGAAAGGGAACCGUAUGAAAUCAGCCUGUCUCUUUGGUAAUCAACCUGGAAUUCGUUCUGGGUGCACUUGCCGGUGAGUCAGCCUGCGACAAUUUGACUUGGGGGAAAAAAUCGGGGGGAAUGUGGCCUCGGCUUCGGUCGUGGUGUUAUAGCCCUUUGAAAAAUACCCUGGGUUGGAUUGAGGACUGCAGCGAGCCAUUAGGGAUGAACUGUGGGCGCUUGGCUUUGCCUUGAAAGAAAUCUCUGCUUCGGGUGGUGUCUUUCUCGGCGGGGUCAACUCGCCUACUUUUUCUUUUUCUCGCUUAGGUCGCAGGCAUAAUGAUUUUAUAUAACCCGUCUUGAA